UCCCUUCCUCUCAGUCACGUCUUUUGUGAUAAAAAUGAGGUGGGGAUUAGGGAGGAAUUAUAGCAUGGUAUUACUUCUACAGAGUCAACCUUGUCCUCAGCAAAGUCCUGAGCAUAUCCACCCCAGCCCCCACCCCGUGGGUACUCAGCUAGAAGUUCCCUUCAGAGUGAAGCCUGGGGUGUGUGUGAAGGCUGCAGAAAAGGUUUCAACAGCGACACACGUCCGCGCACGUGCAGCAGAAGAAUAUUAUGAACAAAAUGUGCUGCUGUUAUAGUGCCCGUGUCAGACCCUCUAAGCUACCGUAAAGCUCUUCUUCCUCUUGAUCAUGUUGUAGCCAGGACAGCAGUUUAACAUUUCCCUUAAAUGUGAGGACGGCUGGCGGGGGGUCCAUGUGAGAAUGAAAGUGAACAUGUAAAUGGACUUUUUGCAGUGAAGAAGAGGCCCUUCCAAAGGUUUUCCUUGUAGAUGUAUUUAUUUAUUUAUCCUUUAUUUCUUUGUGUCUUUAAGGGUCCGCUUCAUCUCCAUCACAAGAAAAAAACAUAAUAAAAGUAGGGAAUGGUAAUGAUUUAACAAUGAGAUUUUUCCUAUUUCUGCGUAGGCCUAGCGCUUCUUUCUGUUUGGGCCUGAAGAUACGUGUCUUAUUCUUAUUCCUCAGCCAGUUUAAAAGGAAAUAGAGACGCUUCCCUGCUCCUGUCUUUUCUGAGCUGUGAGAGCCAAUGCCACACAGGGGCCAAGGGGCACCCGCUGGGUUUCCUCUGACGGAGAGUCAAGAGCUAAGUGUGUCUUCUUUCCCAUGAAGGUUCUGCCAGGUCGACGCAUCACCUUCACCCAGUUGCUCAUGUAAGAAAUCGAGGAGUCACCGCGGAUUCUUCUCUCCCCCUUACUCUUUAGGUCAUCAAAACCUGUCAAUUUCAUCACCUUAAUAGGCCUUAAAUCCAACCAUCCUUGCCCAUUCUCAUUGUUACCACACUGGUGCAGACCACAGGUGUGAAUCACCUGGACUGGAAUCAAAAGGAGACGUUUCCCCCACCCCCUACCCCCACCCAGUUCCAAGCACAGAGACUGACAUGAUAGAUGUGGAGGAAAUGUUGGCUAAAUCAUGAAUCAGAGAAAGGAAGGAAAGACACAUGAACUGUUACCAACUACUGUCUCCUGGAAAAGCCAGGCUAGACGCAAGAGGGAGAUGAGGGACUCUUCAAAUAUUAAGACCUCGGAUGAGACGUUUCAUAACAUCCCUCUGCUGCAAGACUCAUCGCCAGUAACUUCAUUAUCUAAGCUGGAUCCCAACUGCCACAGUAUGAACCUGUUUUCGCUGGCUCUGUCCUUAAGGAAGAAUAACUCAUCCCAUUUCUUCUGUAUGAGGCCGAAGCAGCUAUGGGGAUUAUACAGCCUUUGUCCAAAGCCUGGUUCCAAUCCAGGUUGGAGACCUGAAUCCAUUUGCUGCGAGGAGAGCUGCUCCAGGGCUGGCUUUCUAUGCCAGAUAAUUAGCAGAAAAACAAAACUGAAUUUGAGGUUUGGGCUCAGCUUCCGAUGUCUUUACGGUAGCCGUGUAUGUCAGCUGUUCACAUACUCUGCCCCUCCAUUCUUUUCUGGGCAGGUUCCCCAAUCCUUUGCAGUCUUUUCCUUUUCCCCAAAUCUGGGAAGAAAGGAGAUAGAAAUACAGUAAGAGAUGCCGAGAGUCUCAAAGCCCCACCCUUGUGAAGUGAAUACUCUUCUCUCUUUGUUUCCACACCAGAACGUGAUCUGACAUGUUUUGCUGAUGCUAGAUCCUAGAACUGUGGGGAAGGGAAAGGAAGCCUUGACAGAAUGCAUUGUUUGACCUUCCUGGUUUUUUUACCCACUACCAAGGGAAAAAGAAAAAGAGGUGUCUUCAGUUUCAUAAUCAUCUCUCUCUGUCUGGACUAGCUUAGAAGCCUUGGAAGGUGCCAGAUAUUUUUGUAGGAAUGUGGCCUUCUGUUUGGAGAGGAAAACUCUGCACAUGUUGGCCGCAGAGACCCCUCAUUGCACUGGGGAAGUUGUGUCAAUUCUGCUGAAGGGAAGCCAGCUGGCCAAGGCUCUGGGCCUCCUUGGGUGGUGAGGGUGGCUAUGCCAGUGGUGGUGAUGACGGGGG
ensembl:lncRNA